AUACAAAUCAUUACGUGUGCACUUCAUAUCACUCCAGCUGUCUUUUACAUUGCAGACAUUAGAUUUGCCCCGUCUUUGUUCCCACUUUCAAAGGAGUGCUUCUUGAUUUUGUUACACAGGAGCUCUCGCUCUUUAUCUUUUUGCUUUCAACGGGUUCGAACUGCAGGUCGAACUGAAGUUUGAGCAUCAAAAUAGCAAAGGCUGUAGCUACGGCCCUCCACAUGAGUGGCAAGCUUACAAGUAAGGAUUGAAGAAUGUAACCUAUUAUGGGACAUAGAAUGCAUUACAAACUACUCUUGGAGGUAGCCGGGGAGUGCCUCUCUUGCUAGUGCGGGUUAUCUCUCCUGUGUGGUUUGCGAACUAUCGCACAGGAGCUGGGUUUACCCUGUGCGCACCCAAA